rnacentral:rRNA from 1 species
GAAAUCUGGCACCUUCGGUGUCCGAGUUGUAAUUUGAAGAAGGUAACUUUGGAGUUGGCUCUUGUCUAUGUUCCUUGGAACAGGACGUCACAGAGGGUGAGAAUCCCGUGCGAUGAGAUGCCCAAUUCUAUGUAAAGUGCUUUCGAAGAGUCGAGUUGUUUGGGAAUGCAGCUCUAAGUGGGUGGUAAAUUCCAUCUAAAGCUAAAUAUUGGCGAGAGACCGAUAGCGAACAAGUACAGUGAUGGAAAGAUGAAAAGAACUUUGAAAAGAGAGUGAAAAAGUACGUGAAAUUGUUGAAAGGGAAGGGCUUGAGAUCAGACUUGGUAUUUUGCAAGCCUUACCUUCGUGGUGGGGUCCCCUGCAGUUUACUGGGCCAGCAUCGGUUUGGAUGGUAGGAUAAUGACUUGGGAAUGUGACUUUGCUUCGGUAAAGUGUUAUAGCCCUUGUUGAUACUGCCUGUCUAGACCGAGGACUGCGUCUUUGACUAGGAUGCUGGCAUAAUGAUCUUAAGUCGCCCGUCUUGAAC